AGGCUUAUCAUGUGGACUGAGAGCCGCUGAAGAACUGGGUGGUGAUCUGUUUACAGGCAUGUGGGAGGAAAAGCAGAGGUGAGCAGGUUAUGCACACACCUUGUUGUGGACACAUAGCAACAUUGGAAACAUUUGAAUUCUUAUGCGGAAGAGACAUAUUCAUUUAGAGUGGGUUUUACCUGCAUAAAGCAUCCCGAAGUAUCACAGCUAGUACAAGGCUUCAUCCCUAUAUCUGUCACGGAUCUGCUCUGGAGAUGAAGCAGCACUGAGGAGAACUGGUGGAUGGUAACUGCAGAGCUCUAGCUCACUUGUUGAAAAGAUGCAAGAUGCAUAAGCAAAGUACAAUGUGGUUUGUUCUUGAAUUAAACAAUUCGGUGUUUGGACCUAAUCUGAACCACGUCGCUACUUUAGGUGGUGUUUUGCUUCUCAAAAGAUCACGAACUGCUCGUUCUCUGUGUGGCCCACGGAGGUGACAAGAUGGGAGAACUGAAGGAACAGAGAUGUGAAGUUAUCUCUCAAAGCGGUAAAGGAGGCCAGUGGCAAAUGCAGGAAUAGAAACCAAGUCUCUUUAGUGGCAUCCUAAUGCAGUCUAGUACUCUAAUCAACAAGAAACUUUGCCUUCUGAUGUUACAAUGAGAAUGAACCCUCAAGUCACGGCUGAGGUGGUUGUUUGAAACAAGAAACAGAUACCUUCCUGGUGUCACUCGUUUCACCGAUCACUGGGAAUCUGAGCCUGAAUGAAGGUGAAGGAAGACUCCUACAGAGAACUGGGAACGGUUUGUCCCUUAAGAAGGGAAUAAUGGCAUUUUUAAUGUUUUUACCAAAUACCAAGGCAUGUGAUAAAAGUUUAUGGAUUGGGAAUUAAUUGAAAGAUUGUGAAAUGGGAAAAAAUGUGCAUUACAGGAAGCCUUGGAGAGCUACAACCUAAGCACCCUGAAAUUUGUGACCGAACCCACAGAAUAUCUCUUGAGUUAUUGGAACCAUCUCAGAUGACUGUUUAUGACAUUUUUUGAUAUAAUUUACCAGCCCCAGUAAGCUCCCCCAGACAGACUGGGAAAAGACGUUCCUUUUAUUAAUGUUAGUCCAGGGGACUGAAGUAUAUUCGGGGUAGUGAAACAUUUAGUUUAUGGAAUUAGCUACAGAAUUCAGAUUAAAAAAAAAAAAAGGCAGCGUGAGUUUGUACCUGGGAGGUGGUACAUGUUUUAAAAAAUGCUGUUCAAAAGAUAAUGUGCUUGUAUCUAAACUCUGUUAUCUGCAACAUAAAGGUUUACAGUUUUAUAUGUAUUAAAUAACACAUCUAUGAGAUGAAAUGUGAAAUGUGUAACUAAAAGAAUUACUGUAAGUGUAGAACUGUGUAAAUAUUAUCUAAAUCAUAUGUGUAAACAUUAAAUAAACUGUUUCAUUUCUAGAGGUUACAGAAAACACUUUAAAAUUUUAUACAGUCUUCCCCCCGACCCACUAGUUUUUAAUAUAAUUGCAGUUCAACGGCUAAUCUGUCUAUUCAUUUUUUAAUAUUUGCAGUUGUGCUAAAUUUUAUUAAGGAACAAUUUAGUUUGGGGAAACCAUUACACUUUAUCCCAACUGUGGUUCUUGUUGUUUGAACAAGAAGUUCCUGAGUAUUUGCCCCAAAUACCAAUAUUUUUACUCCACUGGCAG